CUGGAAGGUCCCUAAACCGAAAGGGGCUCUGCCCGCCCGAGGAUGGGCCGGCGGCCGAUUAGGUAGUUGGUGGGGUAACGGCCCACCAAGCCCAUAAUCGGUACGGGCAGUGAGAGCUGGAGCCCGGAGAUGGACACUGAGACACGGGUCCAGGCCCUACGGGGCGCAGCAGGCGCGAAACCUCCGCAAUGCUCGAAAGAGCGACGGGGGGACCCCAAGUGCCGUGGUACAACCACGGCUUUUCCGGAGUGUAAGAAGCUCCGGGAAUAAGGGCUGGGCAAGGCCGGUGGCAGCCGCCGCGGUAAUACCGGCGGCCCGAGUGGUGGCCACUAUUAUUGGGCCUAAAGCGUCCGUAGCCGGGCUUGUAAGUCCCUGGCGAAAUCCCACGGCUCAACCGUGGGGCUUGCUGGGGAUACUGCAAGCCUUGGGACCAGGAGAGGCCGGGGGUACUCCUGGGGUAGGGGUGAAAUCCUAUAAUCCCAGGAGGACCGCCAGUGGCGAAGGCGCCCGGCUGGAACGGGUCCGACGGUGAGGGACGAAGGCCAGGGGAGCAAACCGGAUUAGAUACCCGGGUAGUCCUGGCUGUAAAGGAUGCGGGCUAGGUGUUGCUUGGACCUCGAGUCCAAGCAGUGCCGCAGGGAAGCCGUUAAGCCCGCCGCCUGGGGAGUACGGCCGCAAGG
rnacentral:rRNA from 1 species